CUCUGAAUUUUAUUUUGCUACCGAUGCCUUUGUUUUGAAAUAAUAGUGCAAUUGACCAUCUCUGAAAUACUUUGCUCUCUGAGACAUUUGUUAAGCUUAAGAAAUUGAGUUAUAAGCAACUAUAUUGAAACUUCAGAACUAACAGAUUAUAGUAAAACCUAUUUUAGAUGAUUUGCUGUUGUAUGCUAAUCAUUGCUAGUUGUCUAUAUCUAUUUUUUCCAAUUUUCCUACUAUCUAAAUUUUUUCCAUUGCGGGAAAUUUUUCCUAUCUUACUAACAUAUGUCUUAUAGGAGAAGUGUCUGAAGGCCAAAAGUGAAUCGUGAGAAAGUUAAGUACCCUCACAAGACAGGCUCUAGGUGCUACAUUGCGCAGACCUAUGCCGUGCAUCGGUUGAGAAGCAAGCCAAAGAUGCCAUUCCAGGAAUCUGAAGCAGCAAGGGAGAAUCAAAGGGGCGAGAUUGAAAGUUUGAAGAAGCAAGGAGAGGAAACAAAUGCUCUUCUUCGCCGUCUGUUAUGCCUCAACAGGGAGUAGGUCCUUGACUACUUGCAGGUUCACGAUGUCGUCUAUUUAUUUUGCUACUUGUGGUUGGAUAGAUGUUUUGGCUCUACGGUGGAUGCUAUAUACUUUUUGGCUGUGAGUCCAUAGAGUUAUCUUGGCUGUUUAGUGAACAUAGAGUUAUCGAGUGACUUGGCUGUUUGUUUUUGGCUGUUUAUCGGAUGACUUGACAAGUGACGUGCUGUUUUGAAUGAAUAUGUUGUUUUGAAGUGA